rnacentral:lncRNA from 1 species
AUAGUAAUGAAAAGAGGUUCUCUCAUCUCUUCUGUGCAGAACUGGGACACAACCAGCCAGAAAUUUGCUGCACAUCAGAGCGCCCGCAUGGCCUGCGGAGAAAAGGGUGAUGGCUAGGAUCACCGCAAGGGCCAGAGCUAUCAAAUUUUUAUCUCGCGGAGGGAAAAGUCCUUUUAGACUAUGCGUGGCAAGGAGCUCUCUCUGCCUGACCGCUGUGCCUUUGCUCUGCACCUGAGACGCAGCUCCAGUUGAUGUUACCUCCCGCACAGAAAGAAAAGAGGAAAGCAUUGCUCUGAGAACUCACCAAAAGGCCUAUGUUUCUUCUUCAUGCACCAGGUGCAGCCUCUGCUCUGAGACCAUGCAAGGAGUGCAGAAYAAAAGACCAUAAGGAUAAUGGUACUGGGCUGGAUGCAAGGGUGUCUAGCUCCUUGUCCUGCUCCAGCAGCGAGCCACAGUUGAUCCUCAUGGAAAUGCACAUGGAAAGGCCUUUUUUGGGUCAGUUUAA